rnacentral:lncRNA from 1 species
GCGUCGGCGUUCUUUUGUUCGUUUUUAAAAGGCAAAGUUCCGCUUUAAGAGGGAAAGCCGUUAUACUCUUGGUAAAGUAAUUCUAGAUGAUGGAGGAUAUGAAACACCGUAUAACAACAAUCAUAACGUAUCCAAAGCGUGAUUCUGAUCGACGAGAAAUAUAGAAGGGGGGGCCUUCGUCGUCUUCUGAGUUAAAGGGUGGAAAAGAACAAAAAAGAAUAAAAAAAUUGAAAGGAAAAAAAAAGAUAGGGCAGGUUGACGGCAUAUGGCUGCCGGUAGAACGGUAUCCGCCUAGUUAGCAGAAACUUUCACGAUACACCUAUGAUCGUUCGUUGAAGGGGAAUCGAGAAGGAGCACGUUAGAAAAGCAACGAAAA